rnacentral:tRNA from 1 species
GGCUGGUUAGCUCAGUAAGUUGAGUGUGGUGCUAACAACACUAAGGUCGUGGGUUUGAUUCCCGUUUGGUCCC